GUUUUAUGGGAAGCAAGGGAAACUGUUUCCAGAACUGGAGUCAAAUUAAAAUAAGCGCCUUGGCUGGGAUCCAGAUGUGAGGAAGUUAACACUCGCACUUCAUCCUCAUCAUAGCUAGACGUUCUACUUUGUUUCGAGUUAGAAUUCUUGGCCUUGUUUGUGUUGUCGUGACGAUCUCGUCCUCCUGCGCUGACCUGUGCAGCCUGUGCUCUGGAAUUCUGGAAUAUCACUUACAGGUCACCGAUGGAUCUAAUAAGUCGGCAGCUCAACACUGUGGACGUGAGGUGGCCGGUUUGUGACAGCUGCUUCCUUCCACCUCUGCACAAACACCACUGAAGACAAACCUCCUUUUUUAAACAUCCACAGGGAGACGCCAUAAUGAGGAACAUCCUCUCCUGAACCUCCACACCAAUAUCCUGAUGGACUACUGUUUCCACUCACAGUGUUGAUCCUUAGAAUAUGAGGAGGCCUCUGGAACGUCAUUUAACACCCUUUUAGUCAAAGAAAAACCCCCAAAUAAAACCAAAUGAAUUAAUAAAAUGAUGCUAUUUGUAUGUUAAUGUACAGUAGAAGCACCAUA